UUCUGGUCGUUUACCUGUAGUAGAACGUCUCAUUCAAUCAAAGUGCAACAAAGCAGCAACAACUAAUGAUGGAAAGACAGCUCUACACGUUGCUGGUAAUGUGGAUGUAGUUGAUUAUCUCUUGAGCAUUGGUCUCAACAUUGAAGAUCGUGAUGAGAAUGGCUACACACCAUUUCUAGAUGCAUGUGGUGAUGGUCGUUUACCUGUAGUAGAACGUCUCAUUCAAUCAAAGUGCAACAAAGCAACAACAACUAAUG